UUAAGAGUCAAUCACAAUGCUGUGGGUCUGGAGUCACAUAUAGGCCAGACCAGAUCCAGCCUAGAAUGAGGGAGUAAUGCAUUUUGUUGCUAGUGGAUUGACCAUGUUUUGGACUGCAGUUGAACUGGCUUCAGAGCCAUCAUGACAGGCAAAUGCUGCUCGAACAACAUCAGCGCUGGAAGAACCCCCUGUGACCAAAAAUCGCUGAGAAACAGAACCGGAAGUGGUACCAAACACCCCAACAAACUAAGGCAUAUAAAUAACAAGUGGGACAGAACAUCAAUGCUUUACCGAUGCGCACUGAUGAUAUUGCCUAGCAGGAUGAUGACCAAACCCGCAGGCUUGGCGAACAUGUCUACAACCUCAAAAUCACUCUGCUCUGCAGCGCAAGAUAACACAAAUAAAGGAAAUACAGAGGACUUGAAUUCGUAUUAUAUGGGAGUGGAUGGGUUGACAUUCACGGGAAAGACAUUGGGUAUACUGGAAGGAACGGUGGACGCAGUUUUCAUGUAACAGAGUUCUGGAGGUGACAUUGGUGGUAAUCCCAGGAGGGCAAAUCACUAGUCAAUUUAUAGGUCCAUUUAUUGAGCAACCAUCGGGAAAUGACAGUUGAAAUAAAAUUAUGGUUCAUUGCGAUUGCACUUAUGUGAACACAGACUGGGAGAGUGAUGCAUACAAGAGGUACAUUGACUGGGGUGGCUAUUCCAGGCAAUUCAGGAAAAUUGGUUGGAUAAUCAUUAAUUGUACAAAGGUUGAUACUGCACAGGAAGGGGAUAGAGGAAAAAGGGCAUUGAGAAAUGCAGACAGGGAUUUUUGUUGGGGGCUGGGACCCUUCAUAAUUUUCAGGAUCCGUAAGAAGCUUAUUACCCUACGUCCCCCAGUGAUAAAAACCACACCAGAACUUAGGUGUAGCAAAUCUCAGUGUAAAAUGAAAGGUGUAGGCCUAGUGCUAGAAUAGACCGGAGAAUCCGUCCUUUUGGUACUGAGAUAUCGGCAUAUGCAGGUAGUUUUCAACCUAAUUGAAAUGACUACUCCAGAAUGGUGUUCAUCCAUGACGAAACAAUUAUCUAUGCACCCACUGGUUCAACAGUUAAGCAGGAAUGAGUUUAAGUCUGGUAGGAAUAGAAAGAAAAGAUGGCUACUGGAGCUAGUAGAGGCCGGAUAUGCAUCAGGAGUAGCAACACUCAACACUUUGGAUGUAGCAGAGUUAGAAAGUCUCUCCAGCAGAAAAUGCAGGUCAUUACCGGGGAAGGUUACUUAGGUCAGAUAUGGACCAACCAAAUAGGCCAGGAUGUGUCACAAGUGAUCCUGGAUACAGUUUAAUUUCUCAAACCUCUGCAGAAUACGACAAAUUUAAUCAUUAAUCGUAUAGCCAAUACUUCUGAGGAGGCCCAUAAGGCCGAUGUGUGUGCCACUAGCUGGGUGUUGACUAGGAUCAGGACUAAUUUGUUACAGCUGCAUGCUCACCAACUUCCAGACUGGGUGUAGGAUGAACAAUUAAUAUAGUGGUUGGAGAAAAGGAACCCCUAUGUCACCCCAGAAGUUUGACCUUAACUAAUACGGUGUUAGUUGUGACAAUGAUGAAGGGAAAUAUUAUGUUGGAACAGUGUUUCAUAUUCCCCAACAUGGAAAUAAUCUGAAGUACCCUUGAAAAUACUAUGAAAGUACUUGGAUAUCUUUAAGUAAACAACCGUCUCGUGCUAUUGUAAUGGAUUAUGCUGAGAAAGGGGUGGAUUUGUUAAAAAAUCUCUAAGGGGAGAUCACUUGGCGUGUCCUGACGAGAUAACGAGACAGAGACUCACAGAUUGCAGUUUCAACAUCUAUGAAAAUUGUUCAUCGUCCAUUCUACCUGUGAAUAACCAGUCCUUUUUACAAUAUGCCCUUGUGGGGCAAACGUAUUACAGCAGCUAUGAAUUAUAACAAGGGAUGGAGAUUGCGUCCUUCCAAAGGGCACUAUGUAGCUAUUAACAAUGUGACCUCUGAUUUGAUGAUUAGUGGACAGGCGCUGUCCCAGCCAAUAACCAGGGGAGUGAUGUGAGAAAGCCUAAAGAUCCAACGUAUUGAUACAGACCAAGACGUACAGAGGUUUGUUCUAACUGAACUACCACCCAUCCCGCACCUGACAGCAGAUUGGACAUGUAUAGUGGGAGAGGCAAAAGAAAUAAUUCAUUAAUGGACCAUAUACACUAAAAUAAUUAGAACUCUUGCUGAAAAAGCAAAGGAGUUUUGCGGUACCCCGAGUUGUGGGAUAAGUUCUGGAAUCGGGGAUCAAGUGUUCAGAUACAUCCAUGGAUCAGAAUUCUGUCACAUGUGGCUGCAGUAGUGAUUUUAGGUGCAUUAGUGGUCAUCAUAUUUAAUAUAUGCCAGCUGAGAAGGUGGGACAAUGGAAUUGUACGAAAAUUGGAGGUUGACGCUAUAAUGAAACAGAAGAAGCAUUCUGAAAACGCUGUGUCAAUUAAGUUAUAUCCUUUAUUUAUGUUUGUUAUUUCCUGUAUACUUUAUAUACUUUUUUAACGUAUUUGCAUCUCUAUUUUAUAAUGGUGGAACAAUGGACGUGGGCUACACCCACUGGGGAACACUGACAAUCCUAAGAGUGAUCCAUAGAAAAGGGACAGAGAAUGAUCCUAAUAUAACUAUCUUUGGAUUAAGUGGGAGCAGAUGCUAACCAGAGGCUGCAGAGAGAGGGAGAGGGCUACCAGCUGCCGACGUCACCAACAGGAGGUACUGAAUGUAAAGGUGCUGACAUGAAGAAAGAAGCAGCUUGUGAAUUAAAAAUGACCUGAGCCCAGGUACUAGUUUUAGCCAAUUUAAACUGGUUUGAAUUAACUAAGUUCUGCAAAAAAUAAAGAAGUAAAAGUAAUGCAAAAGCCUUAUUUGGACAAGAAAUGAUGAGGUUAUUGCUACCAAAUCUCUGGACUAGGGUCAAUAGGUAAAGGCAUUCAGUAAUUUAAUUAGCCUGAGCCAACGGGAAGGAGACAGCAUGACUUGAGAGAGAUAAGAGAAUGAAUAAAAAGAAUACCCUUGGGGCAUGCAGCCAGCGAAUACUGUGGAGACUAAUCAUCGCGGAAGCAGACCCUAUGUCAAGGAUGUGGUGAUAGCACUGAGAGUAAGAGAGAGAGAGAUAAAAAGAGAGACAGUGUGUGCCUGGCCAAUGUCAGCCCUCGUUAGCAGCAGCAGCUAUCCUGAAUGGGUAUUAGCUUGUAUAUUCUGUGACUACUUGGGAAGUGUCAGAGAACCCGAGUGGGUAUAUAAAUAUGUUCUAGUUCAGUUUGUGGGAAAAUACAUAAGGUCUAGUUUGUUAUAAAACAUAUAAGCAACACAUGUCUUGUUUAACACAUUAAUAAAGUAAAUUAUGAAGUUA